GAUGAACGCUGGCGGUAUGCUUAACACAUGCAAGUCGAACGGACUCUUCGGAGUUAGUGGCGGACGGGUGGGUAACGCGUGAGAAUCUGGCCUUGGGUUCGGGACAACCACUGGAAACGGUGGCUAAUACCGGAUGUGCCGAGAGGUAAAAGAGAAAUUGCCUGAAGAUGAGCUCGCGUCUGAUUAGCUAGUUGGUGAGGUAAAGGCUCACCAAGGCAGCGAUGAGUAGCUGGUUUGAGAGGAUGACCAGCCACACUGGGACUGAGACACGGCCCAGACGUCUACGGGAGGCAGCAGUGGGGAAUUUUCCGCAAUGGGCGAAAGGCUGACGGAGCAAUACCGCGUGAGGGAAGAAGGCUCUUGGGGUGUAAAACUCUUUUCUUAGGGAAGAACAAAAUGACGGUACCUAAGGAAUCAGCAUCGGCUAACUCCGUG
rnacentral:rRNA from 1 species